rnacentral:rRNA from 1 species
CCUACGGGAGGCAGCAGUGAGGAAUAUUGGUCAAUGGACGAGAGUCUGAACCAGCCAAGUAGCGUGAAGGAUGACUGCCCUAUGGGUUGUAAACUUCUUUUAUAAAGGAAUAAAACGAGGCACGUGUGCCUUUUUGCAUGUACUUUAUGAAUAAGGAUCGGCUAACUCCGUGCCAGCAGCCGCGGUAAUACGGGGGAUCCGAGCGUUAUCCGGAUUUAUUGGGUUUAAAGGGAGCGUAGAUGGGUUGUUAAGUCAGUUGUGAAAGUUUGCGGCUCAACCGUAAAAUUGCAAUUGAUACUGGCAGUCGUGAGUACAGUUGAGGUAGGCGGAAUUCGUGGUGUAGCGGUGAAAUGCUUAGAUAUCACGAAGAACCCCGAUUGCGAAGGCAGCUUACUAAACUGUGACUGACAUUGAUGCUCGAAAGUGUGGGUAUCAAACAGGAUUAGAUACCCUAGUAGUC